rnacentral:rRNA from 1 species
GGGUGACGAGCGGCGGACGGGUGAGUAAUGUCUGGGAAACUGCCUGAUGGAGGGGGAUAACUACUGGAAACGGUAGCUAAUACCGCAUAACGUCGCAAGACCAAAGUGGGGGACCUUCGGGCCUCAUGCCAUCAGAUGUGCCCAGAUGGGAUUAGCUAGUAGGUGGGGUAACGGCUCACCUAGGCGACGAUCCCUAGCUGGUCUGAGAGGAUGACCAGCCACACUGGAACUGAGACACGGUCCAGACUCCUACGGGAGGCAGCAGUGGGGAAUAUUGCACAAUGGGCGCAAGCCUGAUGCAGCCAUGCCGCGUGUGUGAAGAAGGCCUUCGGGUUGUAAAGCACUUUCAGCGGGGAGGAAGGCGGUGAGGUUAAUAACCUCAUCGAUUGACGUUACCCGCAGAAGAAGCACCGGCUAACUCCGUGCCAGCAGCCGCGGUAAUACGGAGGGUGCAAGCGUUAAUCGGAAUUACUGGGCGUAAAGCGCACGCAGGCGGUCUGUCAAGUCGGAUGUGAAAUCCCCGGGCUCAACCUGGGAACUGCAUUCGAAACUGGCAGGCUAGAGUCUUGUAGAGGGGGGUAGAAUUCCAGGUGUAGCCGGUGAAAUGCGUAGAGAUCUGGAGGAAUACCGGUGGCGAAGGCGGCCCCCUGGACAAAGACUGACGCUCAGGUGCSAAAGCGUGGGGGAGCAAACAGGAUUAGAUACCCUGGUAGUCCACGCUGUAAACGAUGUCGAUUUGGAGGUUGUGCCCUUGAGGCGUGGCUUCCGGAGCUAACGCGUUAAAUCGACCGCCUGGGGAGUACGGCCGCAAGGUUAAAACUCAAAUGAAUUGACGGGGGCCCGCACAAGCGGUGGAGCAUGUGGUUUAAUUCGAUGCAACGCGAAGAACCUUACCUGGUCUUGACAUCCACAGAACUUAGCAGAGAUGCUUUGGUGCCUUCGGGAACUGUAGACAGGUGCUGCAUGGCUGUCGUCAGCUCGUGUUGUGAAAUGU